GAUGAACGCUGGCGGCGUGCCUAACACAUGCAAGUCGAGCGGUGAAUUGUUGCUUGCAACAAUUCUUAGCGGCGGACGGGUGAGUAACACGUGGGUAACCUGCCCUCAACAAAGGGAUAACAAUGAGAAAUCAUUGCUAAUACCGUAUAAGCAUACACUAUCGCCUGAUAGAGUAAGAAAAGAUUUAGCGGUUUAGGAGGGGCCCGCGUCUGAUUAGCUAGUUGGAGAGGUAACGGCUCACCAAGGCGACGAUCAGUAGCCGACCUGAGAGGGUGAUCGGCCACAUUGGGACUGAGACACGGCCCAAACUCCUACGGGAGGCAGCAGUGGGGAAUAUUGCACAAUGGAGGAAACGCUGAUGCAGCAACGCCGCGUGAAGGAAGAAGGUUUUCGGAUCGUAAACUUCUAUCUACAGGGAAGAAAAAAAUGACGGUACCUGAGUAAGAAGCCCCGGCUAACUACGUG
rnacentral:rRNA from 1 species